rnacentral:rRNA from 1 species
GCUUACGGCCAUACCACCCUGAGAACGCCCGAUCUCGUCUGAUCUCGGAAGCUAAGCAGGGUCGGGCCUGGUUAGCACUUGGAUGGGAGACCGCCUGGGAAUACCAGGUGCUGUAAGGU